rnacentral:rRNA from 1 species
UCGAGAGGGUUCGGCCCUCGGCGUACUGCUCAGUAACACGUGGAUAACCUGACCUAAGGAAGGGGAUAACUCCGGGAAACUGGGGAUAAUACCCUAUAGGUUACGGGUGCUGGAAUGCCCUGUAACCGAAAGUUCCGACGCCUUAGGAUGGAUCUGCGGCCGAUUAGGUUGUUGUCGGGGUAAUGGCCCAACAAGCCAGUGAUCGGUACGGGUUGUGGGAGCAAGAGCCCGGAGUUGGAUUCUGAGACACGAAUCCAGGCCCUACGGGGCGCAGCAGGCGCGAAAACUUUACAAUGCGGGCAACCGUGAUAAGGGAACCUCGAGUGCCUGUAUAUGCAGGCUGUCCAGGUGUCUAAAACACACCUGAAGAAAGGGCCGGGCAAGACCGGUGCCAGCCGCCGCGGUAAUACCGGCGGCUCGAGUGGUGGCCACUUUUAUUGGGCUUAAAGCGUUCGUAGCUGGGUUGUUAAGUCUCUUGGGAAAUCCGGCAGCUUAACUGUCGGGCGUCUAAGGGAUACUGGUAAUCUUGGAACCGGGAGAGGUGAGGGGUACUUCGGGGGUAGGAGUGAAAUCCUGUAAUCCUCGAGGGACCACCUGUGGCGAAGGCGCCUCACCAGAACGGCUUCGACAGUGAGGGACGAAAGCUGGGGGAGCAAACCGGAUUAGAUACCCGGGUAGUCCCAGCCGUAAACGAUGUGCGUUAGGUGUAUCGACGACCACGAGUCGUCGAGGUGCCGAAGGGAAACCGUGAAACGUACCGCCUGGGAAGUACGGUCGCAAGGCUGAAACUUAAAGGAAUUGGCGGGGGAGCACCACAACAGGUGGAGCCUGCGGU